AGAGUUUGAUCCUGGCUCAGAUUGAACGCUGGCGGCAGGCUUAACACAUGCAAGUCGAGCGGAUGAAGGUAGCUUGCUACUGGAUUCAGCGGCGGACGGGUGAGUAAUGCUUAGGAAUCUGCCUAUUAGUGGGGGACAACGUUCCGAAAGGAGCGCUAAUACCGCAUACGUCCUACGGGAGAAAGCAGGGGACCUUUGGGCCUUGCGCUAAUAGAUGAGCCUAAGUCGGAUUAGCUAGUUGGUAGGGUAAAGGCCUACCAAGGCGACGAUCUGUAGCGGGUCUGAGAGGAUGAUCCGCCACACUGGGACUGAGACACGGCCCAGACUCCUACGGGAGGCAGCAGUGGGGAAUAUUGGACAAUGGGGGGAACCCUGAUCCAGCCAUGCCGCGUGUGUGAAGAAGGCCUUUUGGUUGUAAAGCACUUUAAGCGAGGAGGAGGCUACCUAGAUUAAUACUUUAGGAUAGUGGACGUUACUCGCAGAAUAAGCACCGGCUAACUCUGUGCCAGCAGCCGCGGUAAUACAGAGGGUGCGAGCGUUAAUCGGAUUUACUGGGCGUAAAGCGUGCGUAGGCGGCCAAUUAAGUCAAAUGUGAAAUCCCCGAGCUUAACUUGGGAAUUGCAUUCGAUACUGGUCGGCUAGAGUAUGGGAGAGGAUGGUAGAAUUCCAGGUGUAGCGGUGAAAUGCGUAGAGAUCUGGAGGAAUACCGAUGGCGAAGGCAGCCAUCUGGCCUAAUACUGACGCUGAGGUACGAAAGCAUGGGGAGCAAACAGGAUUAGAUACCCUGGUAGUCCAUGCCGUAAACGAUGUCUACUAGCCGUUGGGGCCCUUGAGGCUUUAGUGGCGCAGCUAACGCGAUAAGUAGACCGCCUGGGGAGUACGGUCGCAAGACUAAAACUCAAAUGAAUUGACGG
rnacentral:rRNA from 1 species